CAGCCGCCGCGGUAAUACGUAGGUGGCAAGCGUUGUCCGGAAUUAUUGGGCGUAAAGGGCUCGCAGGCGGUUUCCUAAGUCUGAUGUGAAAGCCCCCGGCUCAACCGGGGAGGGUCAUUGGAAACUGGGAAACUUGAGUGCAGAAGAGGAGAGUGGAAUUCCACGUGUAGCGGUGAAAUGCGUAGAGAUGUGGAGGAACACCAGUGGCGAAGGCGACUCUCUGGUCUGUAACUGACGCUGAGGAGCGAAAGCGUGGGGAGCGAACAGGAUUAGAUACCCCAGUAGUCCCUGUCUCUUAUAC
rnacentral:rRNA from 1 species